rnacentral:rRNA from 1 species
AUUGAACGCUGGCGGCAUGCUUUACUCAUGCAAGUCGAACGGCAGCACGGGAGCUUGCUCCUGGUGGCGAGUGGCGAACGGGUGAGUAAUGCAUCGGAACGUACCCAGUAGUGGGGUGAUAACACAUCGAAAGAUGUGCUAAUACCGCAUACGCACUGAGGUGGAAAGCGGGGGACCUUCGGCCUCGCGCUAUUGGAGCGGCCGAUGUCGGAUUAGCUAGUUGGUGGGGUAAAGGCCUACCAAGGCAACGAUCCGUAGCUGGUCUGAGAGGAUGAUCAGCCACACUGGGACUGAGACACGGCCCAGACUCCUACGGGAGGCAGCAGUAGGGAAUUUUGGACAAUGGGCGCAAGCCUGAUCCAGCCAUGCCGCGUGAGUGAAGAAGGCCUCGGGUUGUAAAGCUC